rnacentral:rRNA from 1 species
GUCUACGCUGUCAAAGAUGAGUGUUAAUGGCAGGAAGUUUCUCUGUUAUUUAGUUAACGCGUUAAACACUCCGCCUGGGGAGUACGAUUGCAAAAUUGGAACCCAAAGGAAUUGACGGGGCCCGCACAAGCGGUGGAGCAUGUGGUUUAAUUCGACGCAACGCGAAGAACCUUACCAGCCCUUGACAUGUCCCGUGUGGGUGGGGAGACCCCAUCCUUCAGUUCGGCUGGCGGGAACACAGGUGCUGCAUGGCUGUCGU